UUUUUUAAACUAUCUUAGACGAGUUAAGGGGAGACUUUUUAACGUUUUACAUGUUUUUAUUUCUGAUUUUACAAUCACAUUUUAAAGAUGAGUUCUAGAAAGGCCUUUCAAACUUUUUUUAUUUUUAAUUGUUUUUCACAUUACUUCAUUUUUUUAUGUAUUAAAUUUUUUUUACGUCAUAAUCGUGAGGCGAGAACAGAAAACAGACGAGGUAAGUUUCUCAUCAUUAGACAUGUUUUAUCUUUCUUUCAAAAGACACUAAAUGGUGCUAUUUCACUCUUCUGUAUUUUAACAGUUUAUCUUAUGUGGCGAAAGCAGCUCAUCCACAGUCCACUCACCAAAGACAUCCUCUCUUCGGCCAUGUACCAGCCAAAUGCCGCCUUAAGUCCAGGAAAAGUUUUCUGAAAACUGUCCCACCCCUCAGAACGCCGAACACAGGCAGUGAAAGAGUCACUCGGUGGGAAGAAAGACUUGACAAUCUUCCACCAGAAACUACAAUGGAGCUUAAAGCAAGCGAGGCAAUGACCCCAGGAGCAGACACCAACUAUGUAUGCAACGUGGAAAUGCCUAAAUAGACUAAGAUCUGGUGUUGGACGUGCAAAAGUCACUCUCGCCAAAUGGGGACAUCUGGAGGAUCGGAACAGCGAGUGUGACUGUGGCACUGAACCACAGACCAUGCAACACCUCCUCAUGUGCCCCUGCUGGAACAUCCCUGCACAGCAUCGAAUUUAGCAGAGUUUAACGGGAGCUCGGCCACUCUGGGAAUCAACCUUGAUCAGAACCUACCUAACAGACCAAACAGAACUACUUUACAGGCUUUCUUGUCGUCACAGAGGGCAACAGUUUCAAGAACACCUGUACAAGGGAGGCCUGCAUCAUGGAACACAAACUCCCAAACACACGACUUCUCCUGCUUCUUCUGUGAGUAGCCAAGAAGCACAGCGAGAGCCACGCAUUUCAAGAAGACUUGUACAAGGGAGGCCUGCAUCAUGGAACACAAACUCCCAAACACACAUGACUUCUCCUGAUUCUUCUCACAGCGAGAGCCACGCAUUUCAAGAAGACUUGUACAAGGGAGGCCUGCAUCAUGGAACACAAACUCCCAAACACACAUGACUUCUCCUGCUUCAUCUUAUGUUCCUGGGUCUUGCCUGUGGUUCUACAUGCAUCCAGUCAUGCAGACAGAGAACACCUUAGCCUUUAACUGUCGGAAGCUGUCCCUCUGCGAGGCCUCAUAGUAUAGUCUGUUUUCUGUUCUCAUUCAUUCAUUUAUUUAUUCAUUUAUUCAUUUAUUUAUUUAUUUAUUUAUCGGCCUUUCUAUAUUUCUUUGCCUUAAAUUUUGUUUAUUAAGUUUUGUGUUUCCAAUAUGUGCAUGUUCAUUUCAUCACAUACAAGUCCAGUCCAAUGUAUACGUUCUUGUUUGUCAUUUUGUAUGUUCAGUAUUUAUUGAGUCAGUUAAACAUUUUAUCUAUUUUUUUUAUUAUUUAUAAGAUUUCACGCAUUAUAUAUUCCAUUCUGCCCAAAACAACUAAUAUCAUACUGUAUUUUGGUUCCAAAAAGCACCAUGCAACUGUUUUUUUUCCUUCUUGUUUAGAAGGAAAAGUGUAAAGUGUAUGUUGACAACUUAUGUUGUGAUUUGUCGUAUAAAAUAACCUGUUUUGAAUGACAUUAUUCAUAAUUGACAUUUAUUUAAUUCUUUCUUUAAUAGAAAAUAGGUCUUUUC